GGCGAACACCAAAAUGUAAACAACAAAUCAAACCUAGAAUUCAAAUGGGACAACGGAAAUUCCAGAUCAAAGGAAAAAUACAUCAAGGUGGAGACGUGGAAAGUCUUUAAUGUACCUUACGCUCGGGAUCGUUAAAUAUUGGAAAUCUACCCUGGUAAAAGAUGAAUUGAUCUGAAGUAGCGGUGAUAAGUUAUAGCAUCAGCUAAUCGAAGUUCAUUCAGAAGAUCUAUCAGAAAGGUCGUUUAGAGUUUUGGGUGUGAAGCUGUGAAUAUGUUGGACUUUCACAAGAUUACGACUGAAGCUUUACCUCUCUUGAUUGAAUAUAAUGAUUCAUAAGUUAUUACAUCGUGAAGUGUAAUUACUGUACGUGAAAUAAAGAGUCAUAGCAAUUUGUUAUACCAUA